UGACCUUUGGGGUUUUUGCUGAACGAGUUUUCCUUCCUCUCUCACGUCGUGAACGGCGGCGACACCGGGCUCAACCACUUUCUCUGAUGACCAUCUCCGCACGCCGUCGUGAAGACCAAGAUCACCGCCUUUGUGUUCGUCUCCAACUCAACUCACUCCGUUUUGAUUCAUCAAAAUUCGUGUCCGCCUCCAUGACCAAACUUCAUCUCUAAUCCCUUCUGUACUUAAGCAAUCCGUCGGCACUCAACAAUCUCAAUCUACGGGAUAUGAACGUAAAAGCCCCAUAAAUCGCGCUUAAGAUGCGAGAGGAAGACGUCGAUUGAAGAAAGCCAAAAGAAAGGAAUUUGCUACGCUCGAAGCACGAAAUAAACGUGAAGAUAUGUUGAUUCUGAACCUCCUGUGCAGCUGGCCGGUUGUGGUAUGUAUAGAAUGCAGGUCCAGUUUCUUCUAUUUUCCCUAUGUGGGAUUUUGUGAAGGACAAGAAGUGGAUGCGGUUCGCUUUUGGAUGCAGAGCUUCUAUUGCUCGGUUCUGUUCUCCUUUUUCUUACUGGUGCAGAUCUGAUUGGUGCAGGUUUGGCAUAACUUGAAGAAGAAGGAAUAGCGGGGCAGCAUCAUGAAGGGCGAGGCAGAUUUGGAAUGAAUCGGGAUCACGACGAAGAUGAAGUUACGAUGGAAUCUAGGGAGUAUUGUGUAAUUAUUUCUUGGCAAUUUUGAUGUAAUGUGAGAGAUGAAAUUUGUAAUGAGACCCUUUUAUAUGAACUCUUUGUUUGUAAUUGAAUGAACAUUGAUGGAGUUUUGAUGGAGACUUGAACUUGAACCAAUUGUAAA